rnacentral:rRNA from 1 species
GACGAACCGUGCGAACGUUAUUCGGAAUCACUGGGCUUAAAGCGCGUGUAGGCGGGUCGGCGCGUCGGUCGCUGAAAUCCCCCGGCUCAACCGGGGAAGCGGCGCCGAUACGGCCGGCCUGGAGGGACGUAGGGGGGCUGGAACUUCCGGUGGAGCGGUGAAUGCGUUGAGAUCGGAAGGAACGCCCGUGGCGAAAGCGAGCCCCUGGACGUCUACUGACGCUGAGACGCGAAAGCCAGGGAGCGAACGGG